ensembl:lncRNA
CUUUGUUUCGAAGUUCAGACGGAUUAAAACGACCCUAAAACGUGCCGGCGGGACGGGACCGACCUCGCUCUGCACCCGGACGGGGGAGCCCCGCCCGGAGGGAUACGAAGUGUCGGUCGUCACCGCAGUUGUUGAAACCCGGCCAGCGGUACGCGAUCGGGGUGUGCGCAUUGCUCCAAGUAUGACCUCAAGAGUUGGAGAAGGAAGCACUGUAGGUAACAACACUGCGGUAGUCAUUCAUUUUCUUUAAACAGAAAUAAUUGAUUUCGAAUGAACUUUUCUCACAACAGAGAUUUCGCAAAAGAAGAAUUCGGUAUUUUUACUUACAAGUACUUUAUAUAUAUAUACACACACAUAAUUCGGACUUUUCUUUCAUUCCUCGCUUUGUG